UACGGGAGGCAGCAGUGGGGAAUAUUGGACAAUGGGCGCAAGCCUGAUCCAGCCAUGCCGCGUGUGUGAAGAAGGCCUUCGGGUUGUAAAGCACUUUUGUCCGGAAAGAAAAGCUUAGGGUUAAUAACCUUGAGUCAUGACGGUACCGGAAGAAUAAGCACCGGCUAACUUCGUGCCAGCAGCCGCGGUAAUACGAAGGGUGCAAGCGUUACUCGGAAUUACUGGGCGUAAAGCGUGCGUAGGUGGUUUUGUUAAGUCUGAUGUGAAAGCCCUGGGCUCAACCUGGGAAUGGCAUUGGAAACUGGCUUACUAGAGUGCGGUAGAGGGGUGUGGAAUUCCCGGUGUAGCAGUGAAAUGCGUAGAUAUCGGGAGGAACAUCUGUGGCGAAGGCGACACCCUGGGACCAGCACUGACACUGAGGCACGAAAGCGUGGGGAGCGAAACAGGGAUUAGAUACC
rnacentral:rRNA from 1 species